rnacentral:misc_RNA from 1 species
GAUGAAGAAACGUAGCGAAAUGCGAUAAGUAAUGUGAAUUGCAGAAUUCAGUGAAUCAUCGAAUCUUUGAACGCACCUUGCGCUCUUUGGUAUUCCGAAGAGCAUGCCUGUUUGAGUGUCAUGAAAAUAUCAACCUUGACUUGGGUUUUGUGCUCUAGUCUCGGCUUGGAAUUGGGUGCUUGCCGCUUUAACGAGCGGCUCACCUUAAAUGUAUUAGCUGGAUCUGUCUUUGAGACUUGGUUUGACUUGGCGUAAUAAGUAUUUCGCUAAGGACAUUCUUCGGAGUGGCCUCGUUUCUAGGACGCUUGUCCGCUUUCCAAUACAAGUUCCACCUCGUGGACAUGACUUUUUAUUAUCUGGCCUCAAAUCAGGUAGGACUACCCGCUGAACUUAAGCAUAUCAAUAAGCGGAGGA